UUUCCGUAGGUGAACCUGCGGAAGGAUCAUUAACACGUCCCUACACGUUUUUUCUUAUAAACGUCCAAAAAUGAAUUGCGAGAACUUGUUUUAUUAUCCUCCCUUUUUUCACUUUUUUAAAACGCCCUGAAUUAUUUGAAAGAAACAAAACUGAAAUGUGUGAUAAGUCAAGAAAGGAAGAGGAGAAAAAAAGUCAUUUUUUCCUCCUUUUCUUUUUUUUUGAUCCAAAAUGUUGAACAACUCUUAACAACGGAUAUCUUGGUUCUCGCAUCGAUGAGAACGCAGC
rnacentral:misc_RNA from 1 species